rnacentral:rRNA from 1 species
CCUACGGGUGGCAGCAGUCGAGAAUCAUUCACAAUGGGGGAAACCCUGAUGGUGCGACGCCGCGUGGGGGAAUGAAGGUCUUCGGAUUGUAAACCCCUGUCAUGUGGGAGCAAAUUAAAAAGAUAGUACCACAAGAGGAAGAGACGGCUAACUAUGUGCCAGCAGCCGCGGUAAUACAGAGGUCUCAAGCGUGGUUCGGAAUCACUGGGCGUAAAGCGUGCGUAGGCUGUUUCGUAAGUCGUGUGUGAAAGGCGCGGGCUCAACCCGCGGAAGGCACAUGAUACUGCGAGACUAGAGUAAGGGAGGGGGAACCGGAAUGCUCGGUGUAGCAGUGAAAUGCGUAGAUAUCGAGAGGAACACUCGUGGCGAAGGCGGGUUCCUGGACAUUAACUGACGCUGAGGCACGAAGGCCAGGGGAGCGAAAGGGAUUAGAUACCCCAGUAGUC